rnacentral:miRNA from 1 species
UGCCUCCCGAUUAAACUAUACGC